ensembl:lncRNA
GGAAUUUCCUGCUGCAGCCUCUUCACAUGAUGGACCCCUUCUCUUUGGAUGCUGGGAGACUGGUUAUGCAUUGGUUGCAGGCCAUCCCAUGGGACAGAAGUUCCAUCUGUGGAACUUCAGAAACCCAAGUGCAGGAAUAGUGUGUGUUUAUUGCUCUGUCUUCCCAUCUCAUGACUUCAUAACAACCCUGGAUUUUCAUAUGGUGAAUGUGGCUCAUUUCAGAUUUCCUAGCCUGCAUGCCUACAAGUACAGGUAUUUCAAAAAUCAUCUGACUCAAAACAAAGGUGGGCAAAGCAUCGUAUGCCAGCUGGAGCAUUCAGAAAAUCACUUGACAGCAAGAAAGAUCAUUCAUCUAUAAAAGAUGACCUCGGUGGUUUCAGCCGUCACCGAUUACCAACAGCAGUGCUGUUUCUUCCCUUCUCUGAGAAUUGAAUUUCUGUAUGACUGUUACAUUAAUUCUACUGGUACUUUACUUGCUUUAUUUAAUAACAAUGGAAACACCUAUAAAUAUUGUUUAGACAUAGCUGUCUACGGGAGAAAUUAUGGAAUUAGUUAGGAUUUCUGUGUGGCCCACAGCUUCCCCUCUAUGGAGCAGUACAUGCUUAUAACUUUCUCCAUUGGUUUGGAAGCUAUAAAACAGUGUUUCCAGAUGUAUUUCCCUGAAGGAAUUCUCCCCAUCAAUCUCUGCAUCACCUUUAUGGACACUACAUGCCAUCAAUGUGCUAGAAAGCAAUUGAGUGAGCUUUUCUCAGUUUAAUAUCAGUACUGGCAUACCCUUUUAUAGGACAAUUGCUGGUAGCUCAAGGCACCACUACCACUUGUUUCACCUUUCGCUUUCUUUUGCAGAUGGGCUAUUGAGAUCACUUCCUUAGACCAAACACUACUUUCUGGCAAAGGGUUUCCUCCAUUCCUGUUGAUAUUCUAGAUAAAAAUAAGAGUUUUCCCCAGUUUUAUGAUGCAAGAUUUAAUUCCAUGCACAGUUAGGCAGGUUUCAAUUUCCUUCCAUCUGAAUAACUCAUUGGAGGGACUGUCUAGAGUCUAAUGUUCCAUCAGCUUCUAAUAAUUCUGGUUAGUUGGGUUUUAUGGUACCAGCAAAGUAAAACAACUUCUCACAAAUCAGACAAGAAAACAAAUGCUUGUCCUGUUUACAUCUAAAGGAGCAUCUGCAGCAGACUUUAAUUCUUUCAGAGCAUGCAGUGGGAUUGACUUCAAAUGAAUUUAAAUUGCAAGCUUGGCCAACUAAAAUGCUUUUAAUUGUACAUUGGCAGCCAUUCAACCCAAUUUUUACGCUGAUUAUAGUGUAUAGCUACUUUGGUGUGUGUGUGUUAAUAAUACAGAGAUAACUCUAUCCAGAAAACAUCAUCCAAAUGCAUGUGGUGUCAGGUAUCAGGUUCCUAAAAAAAUGCACUUACAGAAAAUAUAUUAUUCAAGAUCCACCUACUAAGCAAAUACUUUCCCUUUUCUUUGUAUUCAUUUUCUUCCUUCACUAUAACAUGAGAGUGGAAGGAGGGAAGUGGAACAACUGCUCUUAGCAAAUGGCACUGCUCCGCUCCUAUCUUCCUCCUUUUAUCUUCUCCCCCCUCGUACGUUUCAAAGCCUUCUCCAGUGUACGCAGAGGAUGUCUGAUGUCUCCUUUCCCACUCCUUCUCCUGGGAAGCUCUUAAGUAU